rnacentral:rRNA from 1 species
UACAGAGGGUGCGAGCGUUAAUCGGAAUUACUGGGCGUAAAGCGCACGUAGGCGGCUUUCUAAGUCGGGGGUGAAAUCCUGGAGCUCAACUCCAGAACUGCCUUCGAUACUGGAAAGCUCGAGUCCGGGAGAGGUGAGUGGAACUGCGAGUGUAGAGGUGAAAUUCGUAGAUAUUCGCAAGAACACCAGUGGCGAAGGCGGCUCACUGGCCCGGUACUGACGCUGAGGUGCGAAAGCGUGGGGAGCAAACAGG